UGAGGAAUAUUGGUCAAUGGGCGGGAGCCUGAACCAGCCAAGUCGCGUGAAGGAAGAAGGAUCUAUGGUUCGUAAACUUCUUUUGCAGGGGAAUAAAGUGCAGGACGUGUCCUGUUUUGUAUGUACCCUGAGAAUAAGGAUCGGCUAACUCCGUGCCAGCAGCCGUGGUAAUACGGAGGAUCCGAGCGUUAUCCGGAUUUAUUGGGUUUAAAGGGUGCGUAGGUGGUUUGAUAAGUCAGCGGUGAAAGUUUGCAGCUUAACUGUAAAAAUGCCGUUGAAACUGUCGGACUUGAGUGUAAAUGAGGUAGGCGGAAUGCGUGGUGUAGCGGUGAAAUGCAUAGAUAUCACGCAGAACUCCGAUUGCGAAGGCAGCUUACUAAGCUACAACUGACACUGAAGCACGAAAGCGUGGGGAUCAAAC
rnacentral:rRNA from 1 species